AGUUGGAUAGCCCUAGUGUAGCACACAGAAGUACUAUGUGUCAUGGCAUUUCAUUUACCCUAUUGAAAAGAUAAAUAACUACAGUAUUUCAUUCUGGUGCACUGCUUUGGAAGUUCAAAUGUCUGUCUGUCCUUGGAAGGAUGGAAGGGCCAAGUUGUUUAAAUAUGCAAUAAACCAUUUAUUUUAAAGCCUUCUUAAAGUAAGAUUGUAGCCUUAUUCUAUAUACUGUAUUUGCCAGCUUGUUUUGUGUUCCUUUUAUUUAGUUUUGUCUUCAUUGAUCUUUCUACUGCUCCUGGGGAAGAAGACAGGGAAAGAAGCCAAAUGUUCCACUUCAGGACCUGCAGUUUUCCCUCUUCCUCAUAGGGUUCACAAGGGAUCAUCAGGAAACAACAUACAUCCAUACGGAUCUUGUUCUGCCACCCAGUUCCUCUGUUCCUUAGCUAUCAAGCAUCCUAUUGGAGCAAUAACUCAAGCUUCCUGUCCUUGUAUCUACAAGCUGUCUGGACUGUUUGGGGACAUGAUUUUUCACACUAAUCGUCAAGAUCACAAUCAUAGUGGGCCACAUUCAACUGUCAGUUAUGCAGGCAUAAACAUUUACCAUAAUGCUACAUGUAUACAUUUAGCCAUCCACUGACUUCUUUAUGCUAAAUCUAGAUACCGUAGGCCUGAUUCUCAACUGAUUUAUAGCAUCAGAGUAUCUGAUCUUGUGUAUUAAUUAAUCCUGUUUUGCUCUGCUGCAUUCCAUUUGCUGUUUUUGGGGAUGAGUCUAUACCUGCAUAGAAUCCAAACUAGAACUGGUUUAAUACCAAAAAGCACAUACCAAACAGUGUUUAUGAACAUUCAAAUUCCAUUCAUCUGUUUAGUUUAGCUAUUGCUUGCAUCCCUUUCUCUCUUCUGAUAUAAAUAGAUUUUUAUUUGCACAGAUUUUGAGUAAUGGCUGUUCUUCAAAGACAUAUCUGUGUUUUCAUGAAAACAAGGGCUAUUCAUACACAAAGAGUAUUUGCUUUUUACUGUUUGUUAUCUAUUAAAAGUGUGUCAUCUAACCGGCAUCUAGAAAAAACAUGUGAAUGUAAUGGCUAAUCAUUAAGCA
rnacentral:lncRNA from 1 species